UCGAGAAUCUUCGGCAAUGGGCGCAAGCCUGACCGAGCGACGCCGCGUGGAGGAUGAAGGCCUUCGGGUUGUAAACUCCUGUCGAGGGGGAAAAAGGGUUGCAAGACCUUGAUUGAUCCCUGGAGGAAGCACGGGCUAAGUUCGUGCCAGCAGCCGCGGUAAGACGAACCGUGCGAACGUUAUUCGGAAUCAUUGGGCUUAAAGCGCGUGUAGGCGGAUUCGUGCGUCUGUCGCUGAAAUCCCCCGGCUCAACCGGGGAAGUGGCGUGGAUACGACGAGUCUGGAGGGGCAUAGGGGGACCUGGAACUUCCGGUGGAGCGGUGAAAUGCGUUGAGAUCGGAAGGAACGCCCGUGGCGAAAGCGAGGUCCUGGAUGCCUACUGACGCUGAGACGCGAAAGCCAGGGGAGCGAACGG
rnacentral:rRNA from 1 species